rnacentral:rRNA from 1 species
UACGGAGGGGGCUAGCGUUGUUCGGAAUUACUGGGCGUAAAGCGCACGUAGGCGGCUUUGUAAGUUAGAGGUGAAAGCCCAGGGCUUAACCCUGGAAUUGCCUUUAAGACUGCAUCGCUAGAAUCGUGGAGAGGUGAGUGGAAUUCCGAGUGUAGAGGUGAAAUUCGUAGAUAUUCGGAAGAACACCAGUGGCGAAGGCGGCUCACUGGCCCGAUACUGACGGCUGAGGCACGAAAGCGUGGGGAGCAAACAGGG